rnacentral:rRNA from 1 species
UACGUAGGGUGCAAGCGUUAAUCGGAAUUACUGGGCGUAAAGCGCACGUAGGCGGCUUGGUAUGUCGGGUGUGAAAUCCCCGGGCUCAACCUGGGAACUGCAUCCGAAACUGCCUUGCUAGAGUAUGGGAGAGGGAAGUGGAAUUUCCGGUGUAGCGGUGAAAUGCGUAGAUAUCGGAAGGAACAUCAGUGGCGAAGGCGACUUCCUGGGCCAACACUGACGCUCAUGCACGAAAGCGUGGGGAGCAAACAGG